AAAAAAAGAAGUGAAGUCAAGAUAGGAAGUAACAUCGGAAGACAGGAAGUGCUGGUAGAAGACAAGAAGUGAGGUCAUACAGGAAGCAAAGUCAGAAGACAGGAAGUGAAGUAAGACAGGAAGUGGUUGUAGAAGACAGGAAGUGAGGUCAUACAUGAAGUAAAAUCAGAAGACAGGAAGUGACGUCAAACCAGGACUUGCAGUCGGAGGCAGGCAAGAAGUGAAAUCAGAAGACAGGAAGUGGCUGAGGGGAACGUCUUUUCUCUCUCCUGCUUGGCCUGAAGUGAACAGGUAGCAUCAGAGAUGAGAUCCUGGAUUGAAUGAUUUGAAUUACUAUGGAAAGUGAUUGACCAAGGGCCGCUCACCAUGGCAGCCGGCUCCAUCACCGCCAGCCAGUGAGAGGGCAAGACAAGAGG